GUCCACGCCGUAAACGAUGGGUACUAGGUGUUGGGGGGUAUUGACCCCCCCCAGUGCCGCAGUUAACGCACUAAGUACCCCGCCUGGGAAGUACGGCCGCAAGGCUAAAACUCAAAGGAAUUGACGGGGGGCCCGCACAAGCGGUGGAGCAUGUGGUUUAAUUCGACGCAACGCGAAGAACCUUACCUGGGCUUGACAUCUCAGGAACCCCCCUGGAAACAGGGGGGUGCCCGCAAGGGAGCCUGAAGACAGGUGCUGCAUGGCUGUCGU
rnacentral:rRNA from 1 species